rnacentral:lncRNA from 1 species
CUCCUUUCUCUUCUCUUUUAAUUCUCUCCUCCCACACCUCCAACUCUCUCAAUGGUAGUGCCGACGAUGUUGUCCAUCGGCCACCACUGUCACUAAUGGAAUGGCAUCUUCAAGCUUGAGAUAGAGAAAAAAUAUAUCAGUAUAUGAGACUUAAUCACAAAAAUACCUCCAACGGCCAUAUGCCCAUCUCUUGUAAGAAAAGAUAGCGAUAGGCAAUGGCCUUAUGAGAUCCCAAACAAAAUUUGGUGAGUAAGUGUAUCUCUAACUGAUGACUCACAGAAG